rnacentral:rRNA from 1 species
GAUGAACGCUGGCGGCGUGCCUAAUACAUGCAAGUCGAGCGAAUGGAUUGAGAGCUUGCUCUUAUGAAGUUAGCGGCGGACGGGUGAGUAACACGUGGGUAACCUGCCCAUAAGACUGGGAUAACUCCGGGAAACCGGGGCUAAUACCGGAUAACAUUUUGAACCGCAUGGUUCGAAAUUGAAAGGCGGCUUCGGCUGUCACUUAUGGAUGGACCCGCGACGCAUUAGCUAGUUGGGGAGGUAACGGCUCACCAAGGCAACGAUGCGUAGCCGGCCGGAGAGGGGGGUCGGCCACACCGGGGCUGCUACACGGCCCAGACGCCUACGGGAGGCAGAAGUAGGGAAUCUUCCGCAAUGAACGAAAUUCUGACGGAGCAACGCCGCGUGAGUGAUGAAGGCUUUCGGGUCGUCAAACUCUGUUGUUAGGGAAGAACAAGUGCUAGUUGAAUAAGCUGGCACCUUGACGGUACCUAACCAGAAAGCCACGGCUAACUACGUGCCAGCCGCCGCCGUAA